GGUGAGUAACACGUGGGCAACCUACCUGUAAGACUGGGAUAACUUACGGAAACGUGAGCUAAUACCGGAUAGUUUCACUUCUCGCAUGAGAAGUGAAGGAAAGAUGGCUUUUAGCUAUCACUUACAGAUGGGCCCGCGGCGCAUUAGCUNGUUGGUGGGGUAAAGGCCUACCAAGGCGACGAUGCGUAGCCNACCUGAGAGGGUGAUCGGCCACACUGGGACUGANACACGGCCCAAACUCCUACGGGAGGCAGCAGUAGGGAAUCUUCCGCANUGGACGAAAGUCUGACGGANCANCGCCGCGUGAGCGAANAAGGUCUUCGGAUCGUAAAGCUCUGUUGUUAGGGAANAACAAGUACCGGAGUAACUGACGGUACCUUGACGGUACCUAACCAGAAAGCCACGGCUAACUACGUGCCNCAGCCGCGGNAAUNCGUANGUGGCAAGCGUUGUCNNNAAUCAUUGGNCGNAAAGCGCGCGCANGCGGUCCUUUAAUUCUGAUGUGAAAUCUUGCNGCUCACCCG
rnacentral:rRNA from 1 species